AGUGCUGUAUAUUGCGACGUCGUUUCAAGACGAAAAUAAUAAAUAUUCGACGCGGAAAAAUGUGAGAUAAAAUAGUUCGUACAAAUAAAAAAAAAGACGAACUAUAUUUAAAACAUUUUUGUGUCUCAUUUUCUGUGAAAAACUUUUUUUUUCAAAACAAUUUCUAAUUUGAAAGAGAAUGAAAACGACUUAGAUCAUUUUAAAAGAUUUAUUUUUGUAUAAUGAUCUAUGUAAAUCGAUUAAUUUUUAUAAAAUAAAAUAAAAAAAAGUUAAAAAUCUGUGGGUUGAACAUCUUAUAAACUCAAUCUUUGUGGAUAUUGUCAAGAGAUAUACAUCAUUAGAUCGACACACCCACAGUUUAUAAAAUAAUCCUGUGAAAGAAAAACAGUCAUAUAAUUAAAGAAAAAAGAUUUGAUUAUCAAAAAUAAUGUUCAACUCACAAAAUAAUUAAUAAUCGAAAAUCAUAAAUAUAUUUAAAACCUCUUAAACUAAUAAAUAAUAUGACAAUUAUAAAAUAUAAAAUAUUAAAUCAAUGGUUACGAUUAUUAAUAAGCGGUCAUAAACCGUUUAAUCAAAUCAUUAAAAAAUUAUAACUCAGUCAUAAAUAUA